rnacentral:tRNA from 1 species
GGCCAGUUGGUGAAGUGGCUUAACACACUACCCUUUCACGGUAGCAUUCACGGAUUCGAAUUCCGUACUGGUCACCA